GAUGAACGCUGGCGGCGUGCCUAAUACAUGCAAGUCGAGCGAACAGACGAGGAGCUUGCUCCUCUGACGUUAGCGGCGGGCGGGUGAGUAACACGUGGAUAACCUACCUAUAAGACUGGGAUAACUUCGGGAAACCGGAGCUAAUACCGGAUAAUAUAUUGAACCGCAUGGUUCAAUAGUGAAAGACGGUUUUGCUGUCACUUAUAGAUGGAUCCGCGCCGCAUUAGCUAGUUGGUAAGGUAACGGCUUACCAAGGCGACGAUGCGUAGCCGACCUGAGAGGGUGAUCGGCCACACUGGAACUGAGACACGGUCCAGACUCCUACGGGAGGAAGAAGUAGGGAAUCUUCCGCAAUGGGCGAAAGCCUGACGGAGCAACGCCGCGUGAGUGAUGAAGGUCUUCGAAUCGUAAAACUCUGUUAUUAGGGAAGAAAAAAUGUGUAAGUAACUAUGCACGUCUGGACGGUACCUAAUCAGAAGGCCACGGCGAACUAAG
rnacentral:rRNA from 1 species